GUCGCAAGAUGUUCGGGAUAGGAUCUUCUGAUCCUGAUUUUCUGGUGACCGGAAAAAAAUCAUCUACAAUUUGCGGUUCUAACGAUGAUGCCCGACACUCGCAAGAGCUUCAAAAAGUUCAGGCGGAACUAGAAAGAGAACGUGAGGCCCGACAAAACAUAGAAGCCCGUUUUGAACUAUUUCAACAAGAGCGUGAAAAAGAGCGGGCCGACCAAGACGCAUGGCGAAAAAAUAUGUAAGAAAUGGUGAAAAACAUCGGAAAGAAGUAAACAAAUCUCUCGUUUUGUUAAGUAUUGGAAUGUUGGAUUACUUUUGAAUCAAAAAACUUGCUCUUAAUUAGGAUUU